rnacentral:rRNA from 1 species
AUGAACGCUGGCGGCGUGCCUAAUACAUGCAAGUCGAGCGAACAGACGAGGAGCUUGCUCCUCUGACGUUAGCGGCGGACGGGUGAGUAACACGUGGAUACCUACCUAUAAGACUGGGAUAACCUCGGGAAACCGGAGCUAAUACCGGAUAAUAUAUUUAAACGCAUGGUUCAAUAGUGAAAGACGGUUUUGCUUUUAACUAUAGAUGGAUCCGCGCCGCAUUAGCUAGUUGGUAAGGUAACGGCUUACCAAGGCGACGAUGCGUAGCCGACCUGAGAGGGUGAUCGGCCACACUGGAACUGAGACACGGUCCAGACUCCUACGGGAGGCAGCAGUAGGGAAUCUUCCGCAAUGGGCGAAAGCCUGACGGAGCAACGCCGCGUGAGUGAUGAAGGUCUUCGGAUCGUAAAACUCUGUUAUUAGGGAAGAACAAAUGUGUAAGUAACUAUGCACGUCUUGACGGUACCUAAUCAGAAAGCCACGGCUAACUACGUG